rnacentral:rRNA from 1 species
GAUGAACGCUGGCGGCGUGCUUAACACAUGCAAGUCGAACGAGAAGCGGAGACGGAACCCUUCGGGCGGAAGACUUUAUUUCGAGUGGCGGACGGGUGAGUAACCCUUGGGUUAGCUGCCUCAUACAGGGGGAUAACAGUUGGAAACGACUGUUAAUACCGCAUAAGACCACAGCACCGCAUGUUGGGGGGGUAAAAACUCCGGUGGUAUGAGAUGGACCCGCGUUCGAUUAGCCAGUUGGCGGGGUAACGGCCCACCAAAGCGACGAUCGAGAGCCGAUCUGAGAGGAUGACCGGCCACAUUGGGACUGAGACACGGCCCAAACUCCUACGGGAGGCAGCAGUGGGGAAUAUUGCACAAUGGGGGAAACCCUGAUGCAGCGACGCCGCGUGAGUGAAGAAGUAUUUCGGUAUGUAAAGCUCUAUCAGCAGGGAAGAAAAUGACGGUACCUGAGUAAGAAGCCCCGGCUAACUACGUG